GGGUCCGCACAAGCGGUGGAGCAUGUGGUUUAAUUCGAUGAUACGCGAGGAACCUUACCUGGGCUCUAAUGCCUUUGACCGCCCUUGAAAGAGGGUUUUCCUUCGGGACAAAGUGCAAGGUGCUGCAUGGUUGUCGUCAGCUCGUGCCGUGAGGUGUUGGGUUAAGUCCCGCAACGAGCGCAACCCCCUAUCUUCAGUUGCCAGCACAUAAUGGUGGGGACUCUGGAGAGACUGCCUACGCAAGUAGCGAGGAAGGCGGGGACGACGUCAAAUCAUCAUGGCCUUUAUGCCCAGGGCGACACACGUGCUACAAUGGUAGGUACAGAGGGUAGCCAAGCCGCGAGGUGGAGCCAAUCCCAGAAAGCCUAUCCCAGUUCGGAUUGGAGUCUGCAACCCGACUCCAUG
rnacentral:rRNA from 1 species